ACUCCUUCCUCUGUCUGUGUUACCUCCACCGCAGUCCCCCACCGAGCUUGCCUUUCCUCUGCAUUGCCUCCUCCUUUUUAUAAUGACUCCUAGUAUCCAUCUCCCGAGUAAUCUCAACCCCUUCCGAUUCUUUCUCAACAAGGCUUGACUAAACCCCUUCCUAAUCCCUCGCAACAACCUCGGCAUCAAAAGAUCCCCGCAACAAACUCUAACGACG
rnacentral:misc_RNA from 1 species